AGCCUGUUUAGGAGGGGAAGUGUUUUCCUGCGACCACGCCAGAGGAGAGGAAAACAUGCUUUUCUGCCACUGCAUGUCACUAAGGUCACAGAGCUUUUCACUGGUUUGAGGUCUGAUUCAUGGAACUGCUCUCAGCUUCAAUGCAGGAAGUGGUAUGAAAUGAAGAUGAAUGUCAUGCCCAAAGGCCAGAAAAAAACACCUUAUACUUCAAUUACAUUACACUCCAUGGGCAUUUAUGCUACACCCUGUCAGGAUUCAACCACUGAUCACAGUGUAGAACAGCAUGCAAGAUGGCAAUGAGGAAAAAAUAUGCCCACAGGUUGAAAUCACUGCCGCACACAGAGCAGAUUCAGGCGGAUCGUGUGCAGUCGCUGUUCCCUGUGCUAGUGUUCUUGUCCAGGGUAGGUGCUAAUGUGUGUGUAGAGUCCCUGUACUCACAAGCUCGCUGUCACGCUCAGCUGCACCUGGGCUUGUUCUGCAGGCCUGUCAAACCCCAGACCAGCCGUACAGAGGCAUACAUCCAUGUUUAAUUACAGUUGCUCUUCCUCCACCAACCCCCCCCCCCCCUCUACCCCCUUCAAGAUGAGACACCUCCUGAGAAUCCCAUAUUAUCCCCCUUUUGAAGUUUAAAAAAAUCAUUAAUAU
ensembl:lncRNA